rnacentral:lncRNA from 1 species
AGAUGUUUUGACUUUCUAAGAUUCUUGGACACUACUACAAAAAAUUUAAUGGAAACGAUCAUUCUUCAUUAAUGGAGGCGGGCAUUCGCAACCGCCUCCUCGGUAAAUCGAGACUUAAUGGAGGCGGUUGUCAUGCCCGCCUCAGUUAACUGAUUAAUGGAGGCGGGCUAUUUAGAAUGCCUGCCUUGGUUAAUCGAUAAAAAACAAAAAAAAUCAUGAGCCCAAUAGCAAGCCCAUUCUCGAGCCCGCCGGUGAGCCCGUUGCCAUCCCGGUAGCUAGAUCUGGUGCUGAUCUAGGCCUCGCGCCCCCGUCUUCGAUCCACCACCCUAGCGCCGCCGAGAAGAGGGGGGCGGGGCUGCACACCGCACCGCAGAAAGACAAGGAAGGCGCACAACCACCCAUCCACGGGUGCCAACACUGCGGCAGCUCCCAAGCCGCUACAGUCGUAGGUCAC